GACGAACGCUGGCGGCGUGCCUAAUACAUGCAAGUUGAGCGCUGAAGGUUGGUACUUGUACCAACUGGAUGAGCAGCGAACGGGUGAGUAACGCGUGGGGAAUCUGCCUUUGAGCGGGGGACAACAUUUGGAAACGGAUGCUAAUACCGCAUAAAAACUUUAAACACAAGUUUUAAGUUUGAAAGAUGCAAUUGCAUCACUCAAAGAUGAUCCCGCGUUGUAUUAGCUAGUUGGUGAGGUAAAGGCUCACCAAGGCGAUGAUACAUAGCCGACCUGAGAGGGUGAUCGGCCACAUUGGGACUGAGACACGGCCCAAACUCCUACGGGAGGCAGCAGUAGGGAAUCUUCGGCAAUGGACGAAAGUCUGACCGAGCAACGCCGCGGGAGUGAAGAAGGUUUUCGGAUCGUAAAACUCUGUUGGUAGAGAAGAACGUUGGUGAGAGUGGAAAGCUCAUCAAGUGACGGUAACUACCCAGAAAGGGACGGCUAACUACGUG
rnacentral:rRNA from 1 species